rnacentral:lncRNA from 1 species
AGCAAUUUACCUUUCCCUCGUAUCCUCUCGUGGCCCUCUCCUCUUCCCCAUUAUCGCCACAAAUAGAUCGGAGGUCCUUCGAUCAACCCGCCCCAGCCAGGUCGUGAGCCGCCCCCUCCUCAUCUACGGGAUUCCAGCCGUCGCCUCACUCGCGAGCUUCUCCUCCGCGCCCCAGUACACGCGAACGCUGCCGCCCUUCUCACCGACAGGAUAGGAGCCGCCGGCCUCACCCACGAGAACGCUGCCGCCUGCACUAGAGAGUGUGCCGCCACCGGCCGCAUGUUCGUCGAUCUUGUCAGGUACGUGAUUUGUUAACUAUCCCCGAUCUCACCAUUCUUUCCGCAUGUGUUCCUAGCCAAUUGCUUUGUUGUACACGCGAAUGUACAAUCUACUCGUGCUCGGUGCGGACUCUAAUAGACAGGCCAUGUGAAAGACUGAUAUAAGAUGAGAUCUGUAGACAAGGUGUAUUUAUUCCGUUACCAACUGAUCCACAUUCUGAAAGGUGAUGUGUUGAUCGAUUCAUUCAUGUGGGGCUGGGGUUGAUUAUAUUACGAUCAUUGACGGGAGAGUAUAGUGCUUUUAGUUCCAGUAUACUACACUACAAUCAAAUCAGAAUGUUGUGUGCCUGCGCCCUGACUCGCCUUGAGCCCUAGUAGCUACUUCGGUACGAUUAUCAAAUACAUACAUGUUUAAUUUAUGAUCUUAGAGUAGUUACUAAAAUAAUCUGGUUCCUGUGCAUUUUAAUUACAUCUGCUUAUAGUUGAUGCUCUUCAGUGUUUGUGUUUGUUUUCUUUGUGUGCCCAGUUCUUGUAUUUUGACUUGCCUCAUCUAUCUGAAAUCUGGGACCAUCUAGUAGUGUUUUAUGUUGUUGUUUAUUUGAGCUAGAUAGACAAACUUGCUGAGAGUGGAUUACAUUGUUGCGUGACACUUGACAAAUCUGACUUUUUUUGCUGCAGCUAAGCUAAACUAGCCAAGCUAAAUCAGGUGCUGCCUAAAAAGGUUAGUCACACUGGUUUAGAGAGUUCAAAAAACUAAUGUCAUAUUUUGCUGUUUCCUAUCAUUCAAAAAAUAAAGUGAACUUCUAUAAAUAAUGAGUCUGAUAUAUCCAUGUGAAUGCUCUCUCGUUCUGAUGUUUUAACAAUUUUCCCUUAGUCUGAACAUGACUUCUAUUGGAUUACAUCCAAUGUGUUCUUCUAAAUGAGUAACACCUAUUUAAUUAACUGAAAACUGCACCUACAGUUGCAUGCCUUCUAGUUCUAAGUAGUUGGGUUCACCGGUAGCAUUCUAUUCAAAUGUACUCAGAGAUAACUUGGUUCUUAAUAGAUUUGAUUUGCUGAAAUAACUAUGAACAGUAACUCUUUUGAACUCUUUCCAGCUUGAACUGUGAUUUUACUGUAUGUAUAAUUGUAUGGCUAAUUUUCUAUAUUUUCUGUCAUGAACCGAACUUUCUCUAUGCAGCUUUGACUAUGCACCAUAUGUUCACAUAUUUCUUCCUAAUUUUCAUGAUAUCCUUCUUUUCCAAUUUAGUACGACCAUGUCGGCAACACCCGAGUAUGAGAGGAACAGGUUGGCAAGGAUUGCGAGGAACACGACAGAAGGUGUAGCGCCUCUUGCAUACAUUAAAAGAAGCAACAAUAAGAAAUGGAAGCUUUGAAAAAGAGCCAGGAAGAGAAGAUGAAAUCCUAUGAAAAGAAGCAGGAGGAAACAGACAACCUUAUCAGUUUUCUCUUACGGAAAUAUGCAACUCAAAACUAAGUAACAUGCCUAAUGGUUCUUGAAGGCCAUCAUUACGUGGUGGUGAUAUCUAGAAAAUAGUUUUCUUUUCUUUAGUUAUGUUACUUUCAUUACAUGGUGGUGAUAUCUAGAACAUACAUAGUCGUUUGCCUUUUUUAAUUAUGUUAGUUUAACAUUCCAAGUUACUUAUUGUCAUUUUCUUUGAAUGUAC